CAGUCGCCGCGGGAAUACGAAGGUCCCGAGCGUUGUUCGGAAUCACUGGGCGUAAAGGGAGCGUAGGCGGCGUGGUAAGUCAGAUGUGAAAUCCCGGGGCUCAACCCCGGAACUGCAUCCGAUACUGCCAUGCUAGAGGAUUGGAGAGGUAGCUGGAAUUCUUGGUGUAGCAGUGAAAUGCGUGGAGAUAAAGAGGAACACUCGUGGCGAAAGCGAGCUACUGGACAAUAACUGACGCUGAGGCUCGAAGGCCAGGGUAGCGAAAGGGAUUAGAUACCCCCGUAGUCCCUGUCUCUUAUAC
rnacentral:rRNA from 1 species